rnacentral:rRNA from 1 species
UACGGGGGGGGGUAAGCGUUGUUCGGAAUUACUGGGCGUAAAGGGCUCGUAGGCGGUUUGUCGCGUCGUUCGUGAAAACUCACAGCUUAACUGUGAGCUUGCGGUCGAUACGGGCAGGCUAGAGUUCGGUAGGGGAGACUGGAAUUCCUGGUGUAGCGGUGAAAUGCGCAGAUAUCAGGAGGAACACCGGUGGCGAAGGCGGGUCUCUGGGCCGAUGACUGACGCUGAGGAGCGAAAGCUAGGGGAGCAAACGGG